rnacentral:misc_RNA from 1 species
UACGUAGGUGGCAAGCGUUAUCCGGAAUUAUUGGGCGUAAAGCGCGCGUAGGCGGUCUGUUAAGUCUGAUGUGAAAGCCCCCGGCUCAACCGGGGAGGGUCAUUGGAAACUGGCAGACUUGAGUGCAGAAGAGGAGAGUGGAAUUCCAUGUGUAGAGGUGAAAUUCGUAGAUAUUCGGAGGAACACCAGUGGCGAAGGCGGCUCUCUGGUCUGUAACUGACGCUGAGGUGCGAAAGCGUGGGAUCAAACAGG